GUGUGGACGGGAUAAGUGCUGAAAGCAUCUAAGCAUGAAGCCCCCCUCAAGAUGAGAUUUCCCAUUACGCAAGUAAGUAAGAUCCCUCAAAGACGAUGAGGUAGAUAGGUUCGAGGUGGAAGUGUGGUGACACAUGGAGCUGACGAAUACUAAUCGAUCGAGGACUUAACCAAAAA
rnacentral:rRNA from 1 species